ensembl:snoRNA LOC120097227 small nucleolar RNA SNORA51
GGUCUCCUUAUGCUUACCACAGGUUGUGUUCCUAUACUGACUGUAUAGAAAGAGGAUAGACAUGCGAAGCCCUGUACACAUCCAUCCCUUAGGAAUAUUCAUAACAACAUGAAAAUGUGCAAAGAGGA